rnacentral:rRNA from 1 species
CCUACGGGAGGCAGCAGUGAGGAAUAUUGGUCAAUGGCCGAGAGGCUGAACCAGCCGAGUCGCGUGAGGGAAGACGGCCCUACGGGUUGUAAACCUCUUUUGUCGGGGAGCAAAGCGAACCACGUGUGGUUCCUUGCGAGUACCCGACGAAAAAGCAUCGGCUAACUCCGUGCCAGCAGCCGCGGUAAUACGGAGGAUGCGAGCGUUAUCCGGAUUUAUUGGGUUUAAAGGGUGCGCAGGCGGAGGUGCAAGUCAGCGGUCAAAUUGCGGGGCUCAACCCCGUACUGCCGUUGAAACUGCAGCCCUUGAGUGCGCGAGAAGUAGGCGGAAUGCGUGGUGUAGCGGUGAAAUGCAUAGAUAUCACGCAGAACUCCGAUUGCGAAGGCAGCAUACCGGCGCGCAACUGACGCUCAUGCACGAAAGCGUGGGUAUCGAACAGGAUUAGAUACCCCGGUAGUC